UCUUGGAGUCAAGGCCACGCCUGCUACAGCGGGAGGGAAAAAUGGAAAGACGGCAGAGGCUGCAUUUGCAUUGUUUGAUUUCGUGCUACGUUCUUCUGGAUGAUUUGGUGGAGAGGAGUAAGGGCCGCUAUUCGUUCUUUAGUGGCGUACCUCAAAGAAAAGUCUCUUCAAAGAGUACUCGGAUGAAUGGGACAUUGCCAGUGAAGAGAUGAAGAUCAUCAUCAUCGGAGGGACUACAGCAUUUGACUCAGCCUGAGCAAGAAUUGUGAUAGAGGGAACUGAAGUCUUACAAGAACUUGACGUUCCCAGAGCUGCGCCUUGCUAAUGGGACUUAUAUAUGCCUUAAACCUCAGCUACCAAAAGGUGCUGAAACAUACCUUUGUAAGUGUUUCAGAGGGUAUUCCUUGUGCUCAAUGGUCUGAAAUCUAGCCCAAAGAUAUUUUUUCUAAAAACUGCAAGAUUUUUAAGGUUAUAUUCAAAAUGUGUUUUUUGGGGUUUUUUUUUUUUUUUUUUUUUUUUUGUGCACAUGGGGUAAAACUGACUAUUUGAAUUCAUUUCACUGUGGCUUUAGAAUAAAGUGAGCAAAAGAAUAGACUUGUUUUUUUUUGUUAUUUACUUAAGUUAAAUAAGUGCAUAGUACUAAAGAAAAUUGAGGUAACAAUUUGCAUGGACCUUUCUGAGUAGAACUGAAUCAAACAACAAAGUGACAAUAACUUUAAGUAAUUUGACAACUUAAAAUCACCUAAAACCUUAAAGGAAUUUUAAUUUGAAUCAGCACAAUUAAGCUUUUUCAGGCCAAUCCAAAUCAUGUUGACCAUACUAAUUAAAUUGAGUUAGAACUAUGAAAGUCUCUGGAUAUAUACUUAAUAGUAAUUAAGUUGCAAGUACUUAAUUAGGUGCAUGCAAAUUGUUACCUCAAAGUUAAGCCAGUGUAUAAUUUUUUAGAGUACAGUGAGAGCAAUGUACAAAUGGAGAAAUUAAAGGCCAUGGCAUGUGCUGCACCUUAGUUGCAAUACUGGGGGACUAUUAGGAAAGGAUCCAAUCUGCCUCUUCAAUUUUCCACCAAAUAUUAAAAA